CUGGCUUUUAGAUAUUUAUUUACUUGGUGUUUUGUUGUUCCCUUUUUCGUUCUUGCCUUUCUUGGAUUUUUCUGGAGCUGGGAGAAAAAAUGGCCACCCGUGAAAAACAACUGGAAGGAAUAUGAAGACUUGAAGUUGACAUCUCUAAGAAGUAGUUAAAGCUGGAAAUGACCAUACUUCGGGUUUU